CACGUAGGGGGCAAGCGUUGUCCGGAAUCAUUGGGCGUAAAGAGCUCGUAGGCGGCUCGUCGCGUCGACCGUGAAAACCCGCGGCUUAACUGCGGGCUUGCGGUUGAUACGGGCGGGCUAGAGUUCGGUAGGGGAGACUGGAAUUCCUGGUGUAGCGGUGAAAUGCGCAGAUAUCAGGAGGAACACCGGUGGCGAAGGCGGGUCUCUGGGCCGAUACUGACGCUGAGGAGCGAAAGCGUGGGGAGCGAACAGG
rnacentral:rRNA from 1 species